GACGAACGCUGGCGGCGCGCCUAACACAUGCAAGUCGAACGGUGAAGAGGAGCUUGCUCCUCGGAACAGUGGCGGACGGGUGAGUAACACGUGAGCAACCUGGCUCUAAGAGGGGGACAACAGUUGGAAACGACUGCUAAUACCGCAUAACGUAUCGGGAUGGCAUCUUCCUGAUACCAAAGAUUUUAUCGCUUAGAGAUGGGCUCGCGUCUGAUUAGAUAGUUGGCGGGGUAACGGCCCACCAAGUCGACGAUCAGUAGCCGGACUGAGAGGUUGAACGGCCACAUUGGGACUGAGACACGGCCCAGACUCCUACGGGAGGCAGCAGUGGGGGAUAUUGGGCAAUGGGCGCAAGCCUGACCCAGCAACGCCGCGUGAAGG
rnacentral:rRNA from 1 species